UACGGGGGGGGCAAGCGUUGUUCGGAAUUACUGGGCGUAAAGGGCUGGUAGGCGGCCAACUAAGUCGGAUGUGAAAUCCCCAGGCUUAACCUGGGAACUGCAUCCGAUACUGGUCGGCUUGAAUCCGGGAGAGGGAUGCAGAAUUCCAGGUGUAGCGGUGAAAUGCGUAGAUAUCUGGAGGAAUACCGGUGGCGAAGGCGGCAUCCUGGACCGGUAUUGACGCUGAGGCGCGAAAGCUAGGGGAGCAAACGGG
rnacentral:rRNA from 1 species